rnacentral:tRNA from 1 species
UGAAUUGCAAAUUCAAAGAAGCAGCUUUAAUCCUGCCUGGGCUU